rnacentral:snRNA from 1 species
AGCUUUGCGCAGUGGCAGUAUCGUAGCCAAUGAGGUUUAUCCGAGGCGCGAUUAUUGCUAAUUGUAACUUUAUAUGAGGGAA